ensembl:snRNA U4 U4 spliceosomal RNA
AGCUUUGUGCAGUGGCAGUAUCGUAGCCAAUGAGGUUUAUCUGAGGUGUGAUUAUUGCUAUUAUAAAUAAAUAAAUAAAUAACCUUCAGAUCCCACCUCUGCAGGAAGCUUUACCGGCACACUGA